CAUGAGUAAUCUCCUAAUAUGAUUGUUGGCGAAUGCGGAAGCAAAAUAAGAGCGUGUAGAUUGCCUCAGAAUGUAAACAAAUUGGUACAAGGCAGGUACCACCGUUUUUUUCAAUUAAAUUUACCACCACAUAAUUGACGGCACGUUUCACAUGUUGGUAAAAACGUUACUAAUGUUUGGUUGACAGUCGGUGAUUCGUAUUUCCAUUUUGUCGGCACAAACAACUUAAAGAGAAGAAACGUUAGUUACCUACAGUAAAAUGAGGAGCAACACGUCCACCUCAAUGGCUCAGACUCUCAGCUUCGGGUCUGUCCGUCAAAGCCCCCGGUUGAGUUAAAAUGUUGCACUGACACAUGGACUGUUGGACUCAGCUGUUGAGCAGCUAAUGGUUCGGGGGGAUUUCCAAGCUGCUUUCGACACAUGUGAGAGAGGUCUGGAGAGCAUUUUAAACGCGGCGCAAAAGGACAGCAGGUUUGGGGAGUUGAAGGCUGCACUCAACAUUGUGGGGAUUCAACCAUUGGCUGAACUCAAUCAGUGACCUGGUGCACUGGCAUGGAUUCUGCAGCAUUAUGCGUGCCCUGAGAAAAUACCUGCCAAAAUAAUGCAGAUGUGCACUGGAUAUCGUGGAGAAUAAAGAGAACCUCAGCCAAGAACAAUCCCCAAGCCUUAGUCCCAACCCCAGUCCUGUGGUGGAGCUGCUGGACUUAACACACCUCAAGGUGCAUCUCACUUACAGUUGCAUUAACCCUUUGUAUUGACAUUAAUGCUGCCAGACAGUGUGACUGACUGUGUGUUUGUACUUUAUAGGUGCUGUGAUUCAGAAACUUGAGGCCUUGCUUAGACUUUUGAACAGAGGACUAUCGGUAGCCAGUGCUGGGUCAUUCCCUAUUCACAGAGUCUUUCUGGCUGUGGUCCUUUUCUACAUGCUUUUUGUCCGGAUGGAUCCAGCUCAUCCCUCAUCUUUCCCCUGGAUCUCACAGAUGCUGCAGAUGCUGAAGCAGAUGUGGGACGCCAUGUUUGCUCCUUACUAUCGAGCCUGAGCUCAGAGCUAACUGUAAAACCAUACAGCCUGGUGCUGGGAUAUCAGGUUUAAAUUUGACUGAGACUGAAGAGCUCACCAUUGACCAUCUAAUCAUGUAAAUACUAAUAAGGGACUGAGAUAGAUAGAGAAAUUCAGGGGGGCUUUUGUUGGCAAAAACAACGUGAAUACCUGUGAAGGCAGAAUGUGAACGUAAUAGGCAGAAUUAAUUUCCCUGGUGUUGCAGAUUCAGUUGCUCCCAUAUAGGUGUGCGUGUGAGCGAGCGAGAAAGCGAUUGAGUGUGUGUGGUGACACACAUUUUGUGUUGAUAUGAAUGGCCCAGUCCAAAACAACUGUUAAAUGUAGGCAAUAUAAUUAUAAUCAGAUGCAUGUCAGACAAAUAACUUUUACAUGACAGUAAAAUAUUUAAUUGGUCAAAUUAGAAUUAUCAUAAAUUAGUUGAGUAUCUUUCAAUAGGGUCUGGCUCCAGCAGAUACCGUCUCAGUAGUGUGUACUAGCUAGCUAGUGUAUACUAUGUAGCAGUGGUGUAACCGCGCGCAACUGGUUGUCGCAGGAAGGAGCUCACAGAAUUGAACGACAUCGGUAGCUGGUAUUGUAGGAAAGACAUUUUAACUUAUUUACCAGUAAAUGCUAAGGAAACAAUGGAUAUGCAAACCAGGUAUUGAAAAUGUUUGGUCCGAAGUCUCGGUUGAAACUUUGUAAUGCGCAAUUCAGUCAUCAUGCGUUGUUUGAAUGAACAUUCCUGUAGGCUUGAUGAAUGAUAUGAUUUGUAUCAAUCAGGAGGGCAUUCGUUUUGCAAACUGCCAUGUAGGCCUACAUUGUACAGUACAGAAAACUACACGCUCCAAAAUAUUUAAAUGUUUCCCAGACCACUAUUUUCUCCUGAUGUGGUUUAAGUAUUGUUGUGGACUUACAACAUCCAAUUGUUGUUGUUGUUCUAUUAAAAAGUGUUGAAUGAGUAAAAACCUGAAAAAAAUAUAGUAAAACUUUUU